rnacentral:tmRNA from 1 species
GGGGGCGCACCGGUUUCGACGGGGAUUGGAAACCAAGGUUGCAGGCCGAGGCGCCGCUGGCCUCGUAAAAAGCGGCAACAACGUAAUUGCCAACGACGAUUACGCAUACGCCUACGCUGCCUAACCAGGCGCGUGGCGCCUGAUCGCUCGACGAUCACGCUGAACCGGCUGACGCCCGAUGCGCCGGGGAGGCGUCACGCUAUCGGGCUGGCGGCUGUUUGCGUUCGCCGGAACAGUCCGUGAGAUAUAACGGUGAACUGGCGCCGGCUCGCCCUGACCGUGGGCAAAAGCCAGGCGUGAGAUAUAUGCCCGGUCUAAGCCUGUAGACGCUUUGAUGUGGAAUAUUCUCGGACGGGAGUUCGAUUCUCCCCGCCUCCACCA